rnacentral:rRNA from 1 species
GUAGGCUGAAACUACGCCUACAUGAAGCUGGAGUUGCUAGUAAUCGCGAAUCAGCAUGUCGCGGUGAAUACGUUCCCGGGCCUUGUACACACCGCCCGUCACACCAUGAGAGUUGGCAAUACCCAACGUACGUGAUCUAACCCGCAAGGGAGGAAGCGUCCUAAGGUAGGGUCAGCGAUUGGGGUGAAGUCGUAACAAGGUAUC